rnacentral:rRNA from 1 species
AGUCAAGUAAUUAAGUGCAUGUGGUGGAUGCCUUGGCAGUCAGAGGCGAUGAAAGACGUGAUAGCCUGCGAAAAGCUCCGGGGAGGCGGCAAAUAUCCUUUGAUCCGGAGAUGUCUGAAUGGGGGAACCCACCUACUUUAAGGUAGGUAUUGCAACAUGAAUACAUAGUGUUGCAAGGCGAACGAGGGGAAGUGAAACAUCUCAGUACCCUUAGGAAAAGAAAUCAAUUGAGAUUCCCUCAGUAGCGGCGAGCGAACGGGGAUCAGCCCAUUAAGUUAUGUGUGUUUUAGUGGAACGCUCUGGGAAGUGCGAACGUAGAGGGUGAUAUUCCCGUACACGAAAGGGCACACAUAAUGAUGACGAGUAGGGCGAGGCACGUGAAACCUUGUCUGAAUAUGGGGGGACCAUCCUCCAAGGCUAAAUACUCCUGACUGACCGAUAGUGAACCAGUACCGUGAGGGAAAGGCGAAAAGAACCCCUGUGAGGGGAGUGAAAUAGAUCCUGAAACCGCAUGCAUACAAGCAGUGGGAGCACCUUCGUGGUGUGACUGCGUACCUUUUGUAUAAUGGGUCAGCGACUUAUAUUCAGUAGCAAGGUUAACCGUAUAGGGGAGCCGUAGAGAAAUCGAGUCUUAAUAGGGCGUUUAGUUGCUGGGUAUAGACCCGAAACCAGGCGAUCUAUCCAUGAGCAGGUUGAAGGUUGGGUAACACUAACUGGAGGACCGAACCCACUGUCGUUGAAAAGCCAGGGGAUGACUUGUGGAUAGGGGUGAAAGGCUAAUCAAGCCUGGUGAUAGCUGGUUCUCCCCGAAAGCUAUUUAGGUAGCGCCUCGGACGAAUACCAUAGGGGGUAGAGCACUGUUUCGGCUAGGGGGUCAUCCCGACUUACCAAACCGAUGCAAACUCCGAAUACCUAUGAGUACUAUCCGGGAGACAGACUGCGGGUGCUAACGUCCGUAGUCAAGAGGAAAACAAUCCAGACCGCCAGCUAAGGCCCCAAAAUCAUAGUUAAGUGGGAAACGAUGUGGGAAGGCAUAGACAGCUAGGAGGUUGGCUUAGAAGCAGCCACCCUUUAAAGAAAGCGUAAUAGCUCACUAGUCGAGUCGGCCUGCGCGGAAGAUGUAACGGGGCUAAAACUAUGUGCCGAAGCUGCGGAUGUAUACUUUGUAUACGUGGUAGGGGAGCGUUCUGUAAGCCGAUGAAGGUGUGUUGAGAAGCAUGCUGGAGGUAUCAGAAGUGCGAAUGCUGACGUGAGUAACGACAAAACGGGUGAAAAACCCGUUCGCCGAAAGACCAAGGGUUCCAGUCCAACGUUAAUCGGGGCUGGGUGAGUCGACCCCUAAGGCGAGGCCGAAAGGCGUAGUCGAUGGGAAAAUGGUUAAUAUUCCAUUACUUCUGUGUAAUGCGAUGAGAGGACGGAGAAGGCUAAAUCAGCCUGGCGUUGGUUGUCCAGGUGAAAGGAUGUAGGCAUGUAUCUUAGGCAAAUCCGGGGUACUCUAUGCUGAGAUCUGAUAGCAAGCUGUACUUGUACAGCGAAGUGGUUGAUGCCAUGCUUCCAGGAAAAGUCUCUAAGCUUCAGUUACACAGGAAUCGUACCCGAAACCGACACAGGUGGUCAGGUCGAGUAGACCAAGGCGCUUGAGAGAACUCUGCUGAAGGAACUAGGCAAAAUGGUACCGUAACUUCGGGAGAAGGUACGCUGUUGUUGGUGAUGGAACUCGCUUCCUGAGCUGACGACAGCCGCAGAAACCAGGCCGCUGCAACUGUUUAUUAAAAACAUAGCACUCUGCAAACACGAAAGUGGACGUAUAGGGUGUGAUGCCUGCCCGGUGCUGGAAGGUUAAUUGAUGGGGUUAGCGUAAGCGAAGCUCUUGAUCGAAGCCCCAGUAAACGGCGGCCGUAACUAUAACGGUCCUAAGGUAGCGAAAUUCCUUGUCGGGUAAGUUCCGACCUGCACGAAUGGCAUAAUGAUGGCGGCGCUGUCUCCAGCAGAGGCUCAGUGAAAUCGAAAUCGCUGUGAAGAUGCAGUGUACCCGCGGCUAGACGGAAAGACCCCGUGAACCUUUACUGCAGCUUGACACUGAACUUUGACCUUACUUGUGUAGGAUAGGUGGGAGGCUUUGAAGCUGGAACGCUAGUUCCAGUGGAGCCGUCCUUGAAAUACCACCCUGGUAAUGUUGAGG